rnacentral:rRNA from 1 species
GCACUUUAAGCAGUGAAGAAGACUCUGUGGUUAAUACCCACAGACGAUGACAUUAGCUGCAGAAUAAGCACCGGCUAACUCUGUGCCAGCAGCCGCGGUAAUACAGAGGGUGCAAGCGUUAAUCGGAAUUACUGGGCGUAAAGGGAGCGUAGGUGGCUCGAUAAGUCAGAUGUGAAAUCCCCGGGCUCAACCUGGGAACUGCAUCUGAUACCGUCGUGCUAGAGUAUGUGAGAGGAAGGUAGAAUUCCAGGUGUAGCGGUGAAAUGCGUAGAGAUCUGGAGGAAUACCGAUGGCGAAGGCAGCCUUCUGGCAUAAUACUGACACUGAGGCUCGAAAGCGUGGGUAGCAAACAGGAUUAGAUACCCUGGUAGUCCACGCCGUAAACGAUGUCUACUAGUCGUUGG